GAAGGGCGGAGGAAACGGGAUCGGAAUUUUUAGGGACAGGAAACAUUUGGUUGGAGGUCCAGACUCCGGAGUUUCUAAAUCUGAUUAGCAUUUUCUCCGAGACUUUCCUGGAGGCGGCUAGCUGGGGUUUAUUCGAGGUUCCUCGUCAAAGGCAUCACAGGCCAUGGAGGCUAUGCUAUCAGGGCUGGCGGUGCCCUUGGUGAUGAGGGCCAGCAGGAACGUGAGAGAAGGCUCCUUCCCUGGGGCAGAGUCUGGCAAUGGAGAAGGAGGCGAUGAUGAGGUAGGUCUUGAGGGCAGCUGAGAGGUAUCCCUGAGAGCGUGCGGGGAGGAAUGCAGCCUCAAUCAAGAACCUGCCGUGGACUUCCACAAACUACCAUCUGUAUCUUUCCGAGCUUCUGUUUCCUCAUUGUGAGACACGGAUGGAGGCUCACACGCCCUUUGCCAGCACGGUGCCAGAAUCUGUCGAGAUAACAGGCAAUAGUCUUGGCUCACAGGAGAUGCAGGAAGCUUUACUGUAAUUGCAUGCAGGAGCUGUGAUAGGUGGUGAAGCCAACUGCUUCGCACAUUUGAAGGUCGACAGAAGGGUCUCUGGAAUGUUUUAGAGAUACAAUGCAGUUAAAACCCCUUCCUCCACACUCCAUCUGAAUGAGGUGAUAGCCGUUCCACAAGUAAAUGCAGAAAAACAAAACAAAACAAAACAAAACUGUCAAUAGAUGAGGUCGGGGAUUCAAAAAGAUGCCCACGGUGACACUGCCAAGUUUAACUGUGCAGAUGUUUAUAAUCCCAGUGUUUGGGUGGCUGAAACAGGAUCAUUGCCAUGAGUUUGAGGCCAGCCUGGGCUACAGAGUGAGAUCCUGCCUUGAACAAGAAAAAAAGAUGUUCUAAGCAAGGGUUGCUUAGAUGUCCAGGGCUUCCCUGGUACAAAACCCUGGAAAGCUGAAGGCGAGAAGCAGGCAGCGGGUGCGGCUUCUGAUUUGGGAUGGUGUAGGUUCAGGGGAGGAGGCUUUCUCCUGGGCAGUGGGUUGAUGAAUCAGUGACUUAAAUAGGGUUCCCUGACCCCAAGUGGACCGACCCUCACUUCUGCUCGUCCUUGGCUGGGACCUCCACAGUGCUGGUCCACCGCUCAGGACCCUGGGGUCAGUCUUUACCGUCCAUCACCCUCUUGAUCCAGUCCACGUAGCUGAGUACUUUGGUGUAGAAGCCGUAUCCCUUGCCACACCCGAUGCCCCAGGAUACAAUGCCUGUGGCCACCCAGUGGAGAGUACGAUUGUCCCAUACCACGUAGACGCUGCCACUGUCCCCCUGGCAGACGCUAUUCACCUGAUUCUCGUCCCCAGCACAGAACAUGUUGUCAGAAAACACCUCAGUCCUCUGCUUCUGGUGGAGCCAGGCCUCACAGGCCUCCCGGGGAGCUACAGGCAGCUGUGAGUAUUUCAACUUUGUCGUUAACCAGCCCAUCUCCACACCAAACCCGCUGACAUAGCCCCACAGGCCGCUGUGGUAGAGUGUCUCAUUGUCGGGCAGGCAGACUGGGAGGAGGUUGGGGCCCAGAGGGACACUGUGUUGAAGCUCAAGGAGGGCGAUGUCCCCGUUGAAAUUGUGGGACUCGUGCUGGCGGUAGUCUGGGUGAACCACGACCCUGCGGACAGGGUGGUUCCCCAGUUUCAGCAGCUCGUCUACGUCUGUGUGACCGAGAAACACUUCCACACUCUUGUUCUUUCUGAGAUAGACGCUGUCUUUGGGGUAGAUGGUAUGGGCAGCCGUCAGGAUCCAUCUGUCACCCAGCAGGGCUCCGCCCCCACGACCGUAGAUACUGGUGAAGGCUUGCCAAGGGAAGUUGCCCAGCUUAGCUGGGGAAGAACCAGAAGUCUUUGGGUUCUGGGCAAUGGGGAUGACUGGUCUUCCACAGACUGCAAGAGAGGAGAGGGAAAAGAGCAAUCAGAAGCUGCAGGAGAUUAGAGACCUGUGAGGUGCUGUGGUGGGUACAAGGAGGCUCCCAGGUGGGAGGAGGCCACCAGGUAUAAGGAGGCUACAGGUGCCAGGAGGCUUCAGGUGUGAGGAGGCUCCAGGUGUGAGGAGGCUCCAGGUGCCAGAAGGCUCCAGGUGUCAGGAGGCUUCAGGUGUGAGGAGGCUCCAGGUACCAGAAGGCCUCCAAGUGUGACUCUGCAGAGUACUGAUGUGAGCAGUGAAUCAAUCUUACAACAUGGGGUACAAAUCCUUGACACAGCAGGACAGUAGUGCCUUCCCGUCUGCUGCCGCAGACAUCUUUGAGCCAUUCCUUAGCUCUGAUGGGACUAUCUCUGGUUCCAAGUUUGUUUUUAGUGCUUUUCGCCUGUUUUCUGUGUCACUCCCUCCUCUAUAACAUCUCCCAUGCCAUCCUUCCCCAACCCAGGCUGCCCUUAGAGUGUUCUGUGGGUCACAUUUGGUUAGGGGGACAGUGCUUUCAUUUGAAAAUAUGGAUUUCACCAGGCAUGUGGGUAUAGGCUUGUCAUCCCAGAAUUUGGGAAACAGGCUACAUAUCCUGGGGAGUUUAAGACCAUUCUGGGCUUUAUGAGAUUGUCUAAAACAAAACAAAACAAAGCAAAAUACAAAAACACUACCACCACCAGCAGCAGCAGCAACAUCCACCACCACAACAAAACAAAACACCAAAAGAAUGAUGGGCUGUUGUAAUGUGGAUGACCUUGAAAGCACUGGGCUAAGAAGAGAAACCAGUCUCAUAAAUUGUGGUUCCAUUUGUAUGAAAGGUUCAGAAUGGACAAAUCCAUAGAGGUAGAAAGUAGACUAGUGAUUAACAGGGCAUGGUGUGUGUGUGUGUGUGUGUGUGUGUGUGUGUGUGUGUGUGUGUGUUUUGCUGGGGAUUUAACUCAAGGCCUUAUGUAUCUAUAAGACCUCAUGUAUCUCAGGCAGGUGGUCUACCACAGAGCUAUCCCCCGCCCCCCAUCUCUCUGAGCCAUAUCUUGACCUCUGGAGAAUGAGGGACACGCUCCUUGCCUUUUCUUUUCUAGGGCCUCUUUAAAUCCUUUUCUUACAAGGUGAAGCCUUCUGCCUUCUCCUCCAUUUCUAUCCCAAUGCUUUCUAUGUCCCAGCCCUCCCAGCCCUGCUGGCAUCUGGCCACUGCAACAGUGCUAGGCAGGUAGCUACUCACCUGGCACACAUUGAGGAACCUGUUCCUUAUCCUGUCUGUCCUUCCAAGUCCCCAAAGAUGGGCAGUUGAAUGUCCCUGUGGAGCAGAAUGAGGGACAGCAAAGAAGUAAGCCAAGAAUUUGGAAUGUCCAGCUAAUAGAAUGGGCACUCAGAAGGCCUCGGACCUUUUUGUUGGAGCAAGACAGAUGGGAACUACUUCCUCAGCAGGUAGGGACUCACCAGUUUGUUUGGCCUCAUAGUAGGGAUCUUGACAGUGGUUCUGAAUCCUGGGACAGUCAGCUCCAGGUGUAGUGACAGCCUCAGAGUCUCCAUUGGGCUGGUUCACAGCUGUAGAGGAUCAGCGGCUCUUAGGGUCUCACAGAGACUUGCAAACUGGCAACUUGGGGGAUGAUUCUGGCUAUGUCUGUAUGGUCAGUGCACAGCUCAGCCAUGUCUGUAUGGUCAGUGCACAGCUCAGUUGUGUCUGUAUGGUCAGUGCACAGCUCAGUUGUGUCUGUAUGGUUAGUGCACAGCUCAGUUAUGUCUGUAUGGUCAAUGCAAAGCUCAGCCAUGACUGUAUGGUCACUGCACAAGAUUGACUCAACAAAAUCCAUGCUGGUUUCCACUGACCAGGUUUUUAAUACUCCAACAGCUUGAAAGCAACUGUGAAAAGUAAGUUGUUGCAGAAUAUUUGUUUAACUGUGCAAAGAUGUGUUGCAUUUCUUUAACUAUGUAAAUGGACAUUGUAUUGUUUACAUUGUGGAAUAUUUGCUUAAUAAUAAAGAUGUGUUGCAUCUGUUUAAUUA